UGCGGGGAGAGGGGUUAAGAGUCUGAGCUGAGCCAACCUGAUUAUGAAUGAGGCUCACCUGAGCAGAAUCAGGCACCUUCCCCGGUGAGAGCAGAAGGUGGCUACAGAAAGGGGAAUUUGUGUCUAGUUUAAGCGGAGGUUAAGCUGAGCUGGGAAAAGUGCCUCAGGCAGGGGGAGCCUUGAGUAAGCAAGGGAGAGCAUUUGAGAGACUGGGUAGGAAGUCCGAGCUGAGGGUGGGGGUUGUUUCCCAUGUUGCCCCCCAGGAAGGAGGCCUACAGACAAGCUAGCGGCCAGGGUACUGAGCCCGGCAGGCGGUCGCUGAAGACAGCCUCAGGAAGAGCUCUGCUACCAGGGAAUGCUGUCUGUGUUGAAGGCAUCUCUGAGUUUGGACAGUUGUGACCCCCGUGGGGAAGCCUUGCCAGAACUGAGUCACUGGAAAAGAAGUGGCUCCCGUGGUGCUGUAUGGACCUUUGGCAGGGAGGCACUGGAGUUGCAAGAGAGCUGUCGUGCCUGGCUGUGAGGGGGCUGCCUAGCAGAAGCUAUGAGAAGCUGGUGGUUGACAGAUCUGGGAGUAGAAAACUGAGGAAUCUGGCAUCCUGGAAUGGUACAGAAGAUCAGCUGGAAUUUUGGAACUCAAGGCUGCUGUCAACAACAUGGGACAAGGGUGUCUCCAGAACUACAAAUUGAUUCUGCUGUUUCCAGUCAUCAAAUGGCUACUCCUCUCUUGCAGAUUCCUGCAAUGUGGGUACCAUUUCCUUUUUAUAGGAUGGUAACCACAUCCAUAUGAACACCACAGAAUCACCGCUGGGUUCUGCACCACUCAGGUAUGGCCUCACUCCCCAACUGGAACAAAGCUGUGUGAGCAGAGGUGUGACCUCAUUUGUGGUGGCUGAGCCAACCCCUCAAAUGUGGCCUCUCAGGACUCCUGUCAUCCUGACAGCUGGGCCCAUCCUGAGUGGCGCUGGGGCCCCACCGUUUGCAUUGGCUGGAGUGGGAAGGCAAGGCUGGCCAGCCAGUCAAGUGGGACAGGAGCAGCCCUGCAACCCUCCGGAACUUUCUGGCAACUCAGUUUUGAGUCCCAGCUCACAGCUGAAAAAACCUGAUCUAACCUUCAUAAUGCACCCCUAGACUUCACUGCUAGCACUGUGAGCUUAUGGCAAGAUAUAGACAGGCAAUGCAGCAAGAGCAUCUCUUUUCCCAGUGCAUGA